AUUCUGAAGACAGCCUCCCACCCCACCCCACCUCAUCAUGCUCUUCCAGGACAGCUACAGGAAGAAAAGGAGAUAACAGAAUCUAAUGAUGUCCCAUAAGAUCUCCAGUCAAGGUGUGAACAUGAAGCUCCAUUUGCCUAUCUUUACCAAGAGCUUGAUGAUUUGAACCACUGACUGAUUGCCCUGUACUUGGAGGAUGUGAGGAAGCAGAAUUGAGCCAAUAAAGAGAAGAGGAAGAAGGAGCCACAGAACUGAGUGGGAUGUCCCCUGAGCACUCCUUGGUGGAGCAAAAGUCUUGCAAGUCUCUAGUGCGCUGGGCAGGCUGAGGGCGUUCAGCCGAGAACACAGCUCUGUAAAUACAUCAGCGAGGAUGCAUAUAUACAGUUUCCCCAGUGCUCCCUCAGACCCUUGGAGGCUGGGCUACUCCAAGCUCUGUUUCCUGCAAAAAAAUGGAGUAAGUCCUGUGGAGUCUAAAUACACAUUCCCUCUGCAUUAUACCCACGCCUCGACUUCAUUAUAUCUAGGAGCACUGAGACAAAGAGAUUUAUAACAAACUUCAUCCAAGCCAAGAAUGAAACACGGCAGCCUCCAUGCAGCAGGAAACCCAUUGAUCUGUUUCUUAUAAGCAUGUGGUUCUAUGCUGUUUUUCUGCCAAAGCUUUUCCCUGCCUCCCACUUGAGGAGCAUACACCAGCUGAUUCUGCAGAUUGACUCUACAUCAUUCUCUGUCAUGAAGCCAUGGCAUGUGUUUAUGCGUCUGUAACAAAGCGUUUAUAUUCUGCCAUCUGCAUAAAAACUGCUGAAGGACAUUUCAGCAAGAAUCCCUAUGGUUUAUGCAGCUGCAUGUUGAACAUGAAAAUCUAAGAUAUGACAGUGGUCUUUCAUUCAUACAACCUUUGAAUUUUGGUAAAGUUCUGAUGUAAUGUUAAAGAGUGGUAUUUUGAGGACUACGCAUCAAGAUAUAAACAUGGCACAUCUUUUAUAAUAUCAGCCACUGGAAGACAUUUGAAAUAAUAUUUGUAUAAUUGUGGGCUGUAUUAUCUUUCUUUCUUGCACAUAAUAAAGUUUCACUGGAAGUAAA
rnacentral:lncRNA from 1 species